rnacentral:rRNA from 1 species
UACGGAGGGUGCAAGCGUUAUCCGGAUUCACUGGGUUUAAAGGGUGCGUAGGAGGGCAGGUAAGUCAGUGGUGAAAUCCCCGAGCUUAACUUGGGAACUGCCGUUGAUACUAUCUGUCUUGAAUAUUGUGGAGGUAAGCGGAAUAUGUCAUGUAGCGGUGAAAUGCUUAGAUAUGACAUAGAACACCAAUGGCGAAGGCGAGUCUCUGGACAUUUCCUGACGCUGAGGCACGAAAGCCAGGGGAGCAAACGGG